rnacentral:rRNA from 1 species
GACGAACCGUGCGAACGUUGUUCGGAAUCACUGGGCUUAAAGGGCGCGUAGGCGGGCCGACCAGUCCGGGGUGAAAUCUUUCGGCUUAACCGGAAAAGAGCCUUGGAUACUGUCGGUCUCGAGGGAGGUAGGGGCAUGUGGAACUGCGGGUGGAGCGGUGAAAUGCGUUGAUAUCCGCAGGAACGCCGGUGGCGAAAGCGACGUGCUGGAUCUCUUCUGACGCUGAGGCGCGAAAGCCAGGGGAGCAAACGGG